GGGAGGGGAGUGAAAUAGAACCUGAAACCCUGCACUUACAAGCUGUGGGAGCACAUUACUUGUGUGACCGCGUACUUUUUGUAGAACGGGCCAACGAGUUACGUUGUGUAGCAAGGUUAAGCACUUAAGGUGUGGAGCCGUAGCGAAAGCGAGUCUUAAAUGGGCGUCCAGUUACCCGACGUAGACCCGAAACCAGGCGACCUAUCCAUGAGCAGGUUGAAGCGAAAGUAAAAUUUCGUGGAGGACCGAACCCACGAGCGUUGAAAAGUGCGGGGAUGACUUGUGGAUAGCGGUGAAAUUCCAAUCGAGCCUGGAGAUAGCUGGUUCUCCCCGAAAUAGCUUUAGGGCUAGCCUCAAGCUUAGAGAAACGGAGGUAGAGCACUGAAUGUCCUAGGGGGUAUUGCACUUACCGAAGACUAUCAAACUCCGAAUGCCGUAUUCUUUUGCUUGGGAGUCAGACUAUGGGUGAUAAGAUUCAUAGUCAAGAGGGCAACAGCCCAGAUCGUCAGCUAAGGUCCCUAAAUGUAAGUUAAGUGGUAAAGGAUGUGGAAUUGCACAGACAACCAGGAUGUUGGCUUAGAAGCAGCCACUCAUUUAAAGAGUGCGUAAUAGCUCACUGGUCGAGUGAUUCUGCGCCGAAAAUUUCCGGGGCUAAAACUUACUACCGAAGCUACGGCAUCAUUAUGAUGGGUAGGGGAGCUUUCUAUGCGGCUUGAAGCAUGACCGUAAGGACAUGUGGACUGCAUAGAAGUGAGAAUGUUGGCAUGAGUAGCGAGAUGUGGGUGAGAAUCCCACAGGCCGUAAACCCAAGGUUUCCAGGGGAAGGUUCGUCCGCCCUGGGUUAGUCAGGACCUAAGCCGAGGCCGAAAGGCGUAGGUGAUGGACAACAGGUUGAUAUUCCUGUACCACCAAUAACCGUUUGAGAAAUGGGAUGACACAGUAGGAUAAGCUAACCGCACUGUUGGUUAUGUGCGGGCAAGUAUUGAGGCAGUUCCGAUAGGCAAAUCCGUCGGAAUAAUGCUGGGGUACGAUGCGGAGCGAAAUUUAGUAGCGAAGUAGCUGAUUUCACACUGUCGAGAAAAGUCUCUAUCGAGGUUAAAGGUGCCUGUACCGCAAACCGACACAGGUGGGUGAGGAGAGUAUCCUAAGGCCAGCGAGAGAACUGUUGUUAAGGAACUCGGCAAAAUGACCCCGUAACUUCGGGAGAAGGGGUGCCUUCGAAAGAAGGCCGCAGAGAAUAGGCCCAAGCGACUGUUUACCAAAAACAUAGGUUUCUGCUAAGUCGCAAGACGAUGUAUAGGAGCUGACGCCUGCCCGGUGCUGGAAGGUUAAGGGGAUCUGUUAGAGCAAUCGAAGCAGUGAACUUAAGCCCCAGUAAACGGCGGCCGUAACUAUAACGGUCCUAAGGUAGCGAAAUUCCUUGUCGGGUAAGUUCCGACCCGCACGAAAGGCGUAACGAUUUGGGCACUGUCUCAACAACAGACUCGGUGAAAUUGUAAUACCGGUGAAGAUGCCGGUUACCUGCGACAGGACGGAAAGACCCCAUGGAGCUUUACUGUAGCUUGACAUUGAGUCUCGGUGCUACAUGUACAGGAUAGGUGGGAGACUAUGAAGCAUGGACGUCAGUCUGUGUGGAGUCAUCCUUGGGAUACCACCCUUGUAGUACUGGGAUUCUAACCAGAGGCCAUGAAUCUGGUCUUGGGACACUGUCAGGUGGACAGUUUGACUGGGGCGGUCGCCUCCCAAAAAGUAACGGAGGCGCUCAAAGGUUCUCUCAGUACGGUCGGAAAUCGUACGAAGAGUGUAAAGGCAAAAGAGAGCUUGAUUGCAAGACAUACAGGUCGAGCAAGGACGAAAGUCGGACUUAGUGAUCCGGUGGUUCCGCAUGGAAGGGCCAUCGCUCAACGGAUAAAAGCUACCCUGGGGAUAACAGGCUGAUCUCCCCCAA
rnacentral:rRNA from 1 species